UACGUAGGGGGCAAGCGUUGUUCGGAAUUACUGGGCGUAAAGGGCGCGUAGGCGGCUCGUUAAGGGUGCGGUGAAAGCCCGGGGCUUAACCCCGGGUCGGCCGUGCCGACUGAUGAGCUCGAGCACUGUAGAGGCAGGUGGAAUUCCGGGUGUAGCGGUGGAAUGCGUAGAGAUCCGGAAGAACACCAGUGGCGAAGGCGGCCUGCUGGGCAGUGGCUGACGCUGAGGCGCGACAGCGUGGGGAGCAAACAGG
rnacentral:rRNA from 1 species